UCCCUCUUUCUCUCUUCUCCAUAAGUCUAGGGGAGGUACUAAUCCUAGCACUCUAUCUUCUUCUUCCUUGCCACCACCAUAUUCCUCCAUAGAUUUUUUUUUUCAUAUCUUAAGAAGUCUGGAAGAGUUACUAACCCUAUCAUGCCUUUCAUCAAAUCUAAGAGAGAUCCUAACCCGAGUGCUGCUAUCUUUUUUUUUAUAUAUAUAUUCAUACUUCAUUUUUCAUUCUUCUUUGAAGUUUCUAUACCAAGCCUUUCAGCCAUCCUAUCGCAGUCUACAUGAAAGAAAAUGAAAGGAUUCAAGGGAGCACAUCU
rnacentral:lncRNA from 1 species